CGGGAACGUCUGGGGUGCAAGCAGGCAAUCGGUGCAAGCAUGCAAGCAAUGCUCCACAUUCGCACGAUAUGAAUCCAACGGUGUCUUGGUUUUUUUGCACUUCGUGAGCGAUUUUGCUGGGCCGCCGAUGGCCAAUCCCCAUGUCCGCCGCCUCCUCCAUUGAGCUCCAUCAUCCGCACCGCAGCCACUCCCCAUUCACGCAGCCACGCAGAUUCUCUGAUCUGAUUUGUCCAUCGUCGUCCCUUGCUGGUUCUUUGUACUUGUAGAAAAUCCAAUGUCAUGGCUAUAUUAUCAUUUAAAACUGCAUCUGCUGCUGUGCAAAUUUGAUUUCAUCUUGUCUGUAGAAAGGGACAUGGUUAUGAGCUAAUUUGAAGUA